GAUCGAUCGAUGAAGAUUAAAACGCAAAUUGAAUUUCAACCGGAAAUGCUAAUUACAACUAUCCGUAAAUACCUACAAAAAAAUAUCAACACAUAACAUAUAUAUCGAUCAAUAAACACAACAAAACACAUAAAAUAUCAUAAACUAUAUAUCGCAACACAUAGUCAAUAUCAAAAGACCUUAAUUAAUUUGUAAAUUACAUACCUUAAUCAAAACAAACAACUGGCGUGAGAUGGUCCAACAACAAUUAAAAAGAGUUCGGCACAGCGGGGAACGGAGAUCAAUCAAAUUCAACCUAAAAAAUGACAUAAAUUAAAAGAGAAAAUUUAAAUAAUUAAUUAAAACAGAAUAUUUAAAUAAAAAAUUCAAAAACAAUUUAAAACAUAACACACCUAUUUGAUUAAAUUAAAAUAAAAAUUUAAAGCAAAUUUGAUUUAAAACAUAACAUACCUACUUGAUUUAAAUAAAAAUUCCAGCAAACCUAUUUGAUUAAAAAUUAAAAACAUAACAUACCUAUUUCAUUAAAUUAAAACAAAAAUUCAAGAAACUAUAUACCUAUAAUAAAAUUCCAGCAACUACCUAUUCCAGCAAACCAUAUAAAUCAAAAGAUUUAAACAUCAAAUAUCAACUACCUAUUCCAUCAAACACACAAAUAAAACAUUAAAAGAUUAAAAAAAAAAAAUCAUUAUAGAUCAAUUAAUAACAAAAAAUUCCAGUAAACCAUAUCGAUCAAAAAAUUAAAUCAUUAAAAGUUCAAUUAUCCAGCAACAUUAAAAUAGAACAGACCUACUUCAUUUAAAUAAAAAAUCCAGCAAACCUAUUUGAUUAAAAAUUAAAAAAAGAACAUACCUAUUUCAUUAAAUUAAAACAAAAAUUCAAGAAACUAUAUACCUAUAAUAAAAUUCCAGUAACUACCUAUUCCAGCAAACCAUAUAAAUCAAAAGAUUUAAAGAUCAAAUAUCAACUACCUAGCUAUUCCAUCAAACACACAAAUAAACCAUUAAAAGAUUAAAAAAAAAAAAAUCAUUAUAGAUCAAUUAAUAACAAAAAAUUCCAGUAAACCAUAUUGAUCAAAAAAUUAAAACAUUAAAAGUUCAAUUAUCAACUACCUAUUCCAACAAACAUACAAAUAAAACAUUAAAAGAUUGAAAAAAUCAAAUAAAUUCAUUAUAGAUCAAUCAAAUAAAUUUCCAGCAAUAAUAAAGAUUGCUUCUUCUUCAUGUGAGUGUUUUAAAUUAAAUUCUAAUAAAUUUCAUUUGCGAAUCAAAUUAUCUCCAAAAUUCCAAUAAAUUUUAGUUAGUUUUUUAAAAUUCAUUUGCAUUGUAGUAUAAUGUUAUAUACUCUCAAACAGAAAAACAACCGAUAGUACCUACAACUAACCAAUUGAAAAGUUAACUAAAUCAAGAUAUUAAUAGUGAACAUAGAUACAAGACGAUCGUAGUUAUUCUCUAUCUUCAUUUAAACUGCACAUGUAGGACAACUGAAAAUCCAGCAGAGUGCAAAAAUACCCAAAUCAAAUCGGCCAGCAGAGUGCAAAAACACCCAAAUCAAAAACAAUCCAAUAAACAAAAACAGUAUUAAGGCAUGAAGAAGAUAAGACAAAACUUUCACAAAUAAUAAAUCCCUAAAUCAAAUAUCCCCAAAUCAUAAACAAGAAAAAAAAGGAGAGAAAAAGAUGAAGAAGAUAACACAAUAACAAAAGAAGAUAACUAAUGGAGGAUGAAGAACAUACCUUCAGGAAGAACUUCGAAGAUCACCGGAGAGAAAUGGCUGGAAGAUCACCGGAGAGAAGUUGGGGGAGGGUUAGGGAGGAGUGGGAGUAGUGGAGACGUUUUUGGGGGAAAAGAAAAUGAAAGAAAUCUGGAAUUUUUUUUCUUAUAUAAAA
rnacentral:lncRNA from 1 species